UGCCAGCAGCCGCGGUAAUACGGAGGGUGCAAGCGUUAAUCGGAAUUACUGGGCGUAAAGCGCGCGUAGGUGGUCAAGUCAGUCAGAUGUGAAAGCCCUGGGCUCAACCCCGGAACUGCCUCUAAUACUGCUAGUCUUGAGUUCGAGAGAGGUGAGUGGAAUUCCGAGUGUAGAGGUGAAAUUCGUGGAUAUUCGGAGGAACACCAGUGGCGAAGGCGGCUUUCUGGACCGAUACUGACGCUGAGACGCGAAAGCGUGGGGAGCAAACAGGAUUAGAUA
rnacentral:rRNA from 1 species